rnacentral:tRNA from 2 species
GCUUGGUUUAAUGGUAGAACAGAGGUCUCCAAAACCUUUAGUGAGGGUUCGAUUCCUUCAGC